UCUCAAAAUCCUUCUUCACUCUCAAACUUCCCUUCAUGUUGCUGACCCCCAAGCCAAGCUUCUCCUUUCCAUUUUAUCUUCUCAAAAUCUCUUGCUUCCUGUUGAAGCAUAUCCUUUGUUGUUGAGGCUUCUUUAUAUCUGGGUUAGGAAAUCGUUCAGACCCUCUUCAGUAGUUGUUGAUUCAGCAGUAGAGGUAUUAACUAAGGUUUUAGAUAGCAACUUUGAUGCUACGAGAAGCCCUGAGUUAUUUGCUGAAGGCGUUCUCCUUCUGGGUGCUUUUGCCUUUGUACCUUCUGCAUCAGAAUCCUCUAAGACAAUUUGCUUGGAGUUGCUUUGUAGACUGUUGGACAAAGAGUACAAGCUUAUUAGCUCAAUUCAUGAACUUAUUCCAGAUGUUCUUGCGGGGAUUGGUUAUGCUUUAUGUUCUUCUGUGAAUGCUUAUUACAUCAGGAUUUUGGAUGCACUAUUGGGAAUUUGGGGGAAGGAUGAUGGGCCACAAGGUAAUGUUUCUCAUGGGCUCAUGAUUUUGCAUUUGUUUGAUUGGAUUAUGUUUGGGUUCAUCAAAUCACAUUCGAAUGAGAAAUUGCAAAAGUUCUGUGAAGAGAUUUUAGAGACUCCAAAUCCAAAAUAUGUUCCUUUUGCUCUAGUCAUGGCCACAGCCGGUGCUCUAAGAGCUUUGAAUAGAUCAAUAUCAAGUGGCCACGACCUGCAGAUUAUUUCACGAUUAAGGAUUUCUGCAGAAAAUAGAAUAGAAUUUGUGGCGCAGGAUUUGAUUGCUAGCACAGGAGGCUUUUCUGGUAUAGGAAAUGACGGCAAAACUAGUUUUCUACUACAAUGCAUUUCAUUAGCUUUGGCUCGAUGCGGAUCAGUGUCUUCCCGAGCUCCUCUGCUUAUAUCUCUUGCUUCAGCAUUGCUAGUGGAAGUAUUUCCCUUACAGCGUUUAUAUGCAAGAAUUCUUGAGUUAGCACAUGGCAAUUAUUCUAAAAUGAAUCCUAGUGAGGUAAAAGAACAUCUGGAUAGUGUUCCUUUUAAGGAAGCAGGGGCCAUAAGUGGUGUUUUCUGCAAUCAAUAUGUUUCUGCAGAUGAAGAGAACAAAGUGAUGGUGGAAAAUAUGAUAUGGCAUUUCUGCCAAGAUCUAUACUUGAGGCAUCGACAGGUGGCCUUGGUUCUUCGCGGCAAAGAGGAUGAAUUACUUGGCGAUAUUGAAAAAAUUGCUGAGUCUGCCUUUCUUAUGGUUGUGGUUUUUGCAUUGGCUGUUACGAAGCACAAGCUAAAUCCAAAAUUCUCCCCUGAAGCUCAGAUGGAGACAUCUGUUUCAAUUCUAGUUUCAUUCUCAUGUGUCGAGUAUUUUCGCCGGAUGCGAUUGCCAGAGUAUGUGGAAACAAUAAGGAGUGUGGUUGUGAGUGUACAGGAGAAUGAGAAUGCAUGCAACUCAUUUGUAGAAUCUAUGCCCUCUUAUGCUGAUUUGACAAAUCCUCAAGAACUGCUGACGAAAGUGGAAUAUAGAUGGUUCAAUGAUGAAGUGCAAACCGCCCGUAUUUUAUUUUACUUGCGGGUUAUUCCAACGUGUAUUGAACAAUUGCAUGGUCCAGUAUUUAGCAAGGUGGUAGCUCCAACUAUGUUCCUGUAUCCUAAUAUCCUUUUAAAACAAUUAAUUAGGUUUACUGGGAAGCUCAUUCCUUAUAUGGUAUUUGUGGAUUUUGGUUCUUUAUUACAAGUAUAAUCAGAUAUAUGGGACAUCCAACCAGAAAAGUAGCUCAAGCUUCCCAUUCUUUAUUUGUGGCAUUUAUAUCUUCAAGGAAGGAUUCUAAUGAGAAUGAAAGAGCAUUAUUGAAGGAGCAACUAGCUUUCUAUUACCUGCAGAGAUCUUUAGAGGGAUAUCCUGGUAUUACUCCUUUUGAUGGUAUGGCUUCGGGAGUUACUGCAUUAGUUCGAAAUCUUCCUGCUGGAAGUCCAGCCACAUUUUAUUGUGUCCAUAAUCUUGUUGAAAAGGUGAACAUUCUCUGCAGUGAUGUUUCCACUAAGGAUACUGAUAUGUGGAAAAACUGGCAUGGAGACUCAGAACCUUGUAAGAAAAUCUUGGAGUUGUUGUUACGGCUUAUUUCGCUAGUUGAUGUACAAGUAUUACCAAACUUAAUGAAGUUGUCAGCACAACUGAUUGUCCAGUUACCUAAGGAUGGCCAGAAUGUUGUUCUCAAUGAGUUAUAUAAUCAGGUUGCUGAAUCUGAUGAUGUUACACGAAAGCCAACAUUAGUUUCAUGGGUGCAGUCAUUAUCUUACCUUUGUUCUGGAACAACAAGUACAACCUUUAGAGGCAAUAAAAGUGAAGAAAGUUCUGCUUUGCCUCUUCCAGAUCCAUCAAACGGUGACAGGAUAGAAGCACGGCUCUAAGUUGUUGAGGUGCACAUUUUGUAUUGCCUUGUGAAUUUUAUUUUUAUAACUUGAAGUCUUGUAGCUGAUGCUGCCUUGCUGGUAAACUUAACUUGAGAAUAAUCUUAGGGAGAAAUCAUGAAAUGAAAACAUUCACAUAAAAUUGGUCUUUGCCUCUAUUUAUUGUUUGUCUCAGUAAUCCAAUCAAUUGGACAAUGUAACUGUUAACUUUCAUUCUUCUUGCUGUAAAAGCUAAUAGAGAAAAGAAAAUUAAUUUUUAUUCCUGUGUGACUGCUUUCCUAUAUACAUUCAUGUCAUUGCUAGCAACUAUUAAUGUCUAUAUUUUUUUGAAUAACAAUUAAAAAUUUAUAGUAUUGGUUCACUGAUUAGCAUUUCACCCACCAACCUCUAACCAAAGCGUUUGGUGAGCUACAAUUUGAUCUGAAAACCAACAGCUAACAAGGAACUUUGAGUUCAUAUUUCCAUGAAAAGCUAAAAGUUGGAAUAUUAUCCAUUUUUGGGCAUUUAACUGAUAGAAGCUUUUAGAGAGCUUUUGAU
rnacentral:misc_RNA from 1 species